CGAAAGCCUGACGGAGCAAGACCGCGUGGGAGAAGAAGGCUCUUGGGUUGUAAACCCCUUUUCUCUGGGAAGAACGCAAUGACGGUACCAGAGGAAUCAGCAUCGGCUAACUCCGUGCCAGCAGCCGCGGUAAGACGGAGGAUGCAAGCGUUAUCCGGAAUGAUUGGGCGUAAAGCGUCCGCAGGUGGCAGUUCAAGUCUGCUGUCAAAGACCGGGGCUCAACCUCGGAAAGGCAGUGGAAACUGAACAGCUAGAGUAUGGUAGGGGCAAAGGGAAUUCCUGGUGUAGCGGUGAAAUGCGUAGAGAUCAGGAAGAACAUCGGUGGCGAAGGCGCUUUGCUGGACCAUAACUGACACUCAGGGACGAAAGCUAGGGGAGCG
rnacentral:rRNA from 1 species